rnacentral:lncRNA from 1 species
GACCUCACAGUAUCAUGAAGCUGAAAAGUUUGAAACAGUCAUUCAAGUUUGACCCACAAGAAGGUGCUCUUCUGAGCUGAGAAGCUGCUUCACUGUAUUACAGCACUAAACUCUUAUAAAGAUCUUAUAUUUAGUCAUUGAUGAUAAGCUACAUCUUUCAUUACAGAAAAUGUAAUUAUGAAAGUAUGAAUAUAACAUGAACAUAACACUGUAACCUCAACACAAAGAUAUCUGCUGUUGCCCACUUCUUUGCCACAGGGUGGAGCUCUGCAGUCUGACGCUCAAGCUCAAGCUAAAUGUGACUGACUCAAGGUUGAGUUUAACACUUCAAGCUUUCUGUCUGCUGAGCAGUGACCAUGUUUACUGUUGUCUUUAUUGAAUUUUUACUGCUUAUGGAGAGUGCUGGUGCAAAUACAAUAGAAUCUCUCUUACCAGAAAAGCAUGUUGUAGUUGGACAAAGUGCUGUUAUCUCUUGCAAAUACAGUGGCAUUGGGCCCAGCUUUCAGUGGUAUCGCCAAUAUCCAAGAUCCAGACCAGAGUAUCUUAUUUUUAACACAGAGACUGCGGUUUCAUCCGAAUCCACUUUACGUCUCAAAGCGAUGGCUAAAAAAGAAAUCACAGAAGUGGAGCUGGAGAUCUCAUCUACUGAAAUCAAAGACUCUGCUGUGUAUUACUGUGCCCUGGUGCCCACAGUGACAGGAAACCCACCUGCUCUGUACAAAAACUUAAUACAUGAACACAUCUUGCAUUACACAAACAUUGUGACACACCAGCUUCCAAUCACGCACAAUAGAUCAAUGAUGCAACUGUUCUUAUUUUUCCAAAUUUAAUGAAACACUGUUAGGUCUUCUGAUUUUAAGAAAAGGACAACCCAUCAUCCAAGAUAAAGCCUCAGCCAGGGGGUGGAGCAAAUUCACAAAGUCUUUGAAUGUGUGAAAGGCUGGUUCGUUUAGAGUCACCCUGGUUUGAUAGUUUUACAAUCAUUCAUCAUCAGAAACCAUGAUGUUUCUUUUUUGUUGGAUACCACUGACAAUACUCAUAGGUAAAUAAUUGAAUUCAUGAUUUAAUUCUUGUUUACUAAAAAUUACUUUAUUUUGAUGUGCUAUAUUAUAUAUAAAUUUGUGCACAAGUUUCUUACCUUCAGUGUUAUUUUAAUUAAUACAGUUGCAUUUUAUCCAUUCAGGAAAUUCCUUUGCUGACACAAUACAGCCAUUGUCUUCUGAAAGGCAUAUUUUCAAAGGCGACAAUGUGACUCUGUCCUGUAACUACAGCGGUUUUGUAAACAAUAUUCAAUGGUAUCGGCAAUAUGUGGGAUCUAGACUGGAGUUUCUGAUACUUGUAAAUGAAAAUUCAGAGGCAUCUGAGCAUUCUCUUCGUCUGUCAGCAAAAGACUCAAAAGAGAAGAAACAAGUGAUUCUUAAAAUCUCUUCUGCUGAAGUGACUGAUUAUGCUCUGUACUACUGCGCUCUGAGGCCCACAGUGACAGAAAGCCCAGAAGCACUGUACAAAAACUCUGAUUUCAGUCGGAUGAUUUUGUAUUUCGGCAUAACUUUUUUUUUUAUUAUUACAUCAUUCUUUCUACUUCAAAAUGUCAUGUUAUUUGCUUCAUCUUUGUAAUUAAUUUUGAGUUUUUUAGUGUGUGUGUUACUAAAUUUAUACUUAAAUGUAAAAUUUCCAUUAAUAAUCCAACCCUAUUCCAUUAUACAGAAGGCUUUAAUUUUCUGUUUGAUUUCAAUUUCUUAAAAUGGAAUAAAUAUUCAAUAUAUGUUCACAUUAUGAGGUGCUCCAGUAAUUCCCAUGUGCACAACAAAAAUUUUAGUUUGUUACUUUAGUAUGAAAUUUUCAGUAACUUAAUGUUUUCUAUUUUUUUAUUUUAUUUUAUUACAUUUUUCUAUAAACUAAUGUCCAAGUAUAAACCUUGAGAACUGCUUUAAGAGGAAUUCCUUCUAACUUGGCAGAAGUCAUUAUCAAAGGGUAAAAAUACAAAUACUGUCCAAGUCCUCAGUGAUUUGUGAAAGUCUAAAUGUGUUUGUUUUCACCCAGAAGAGGGCGUUCUUCUGUUAUCUGUGUCCCUCAACACUCGUCAUGGAAGGUCAAAUCUUGCCACAGGGUGGAGCUCCAGGCUUAAAUCACUGUGUUCCAGUCAGGAAAAAACACAUCUGAGUUUGUCAUUUCAUUCCAUCAUGCUGCUCUGUGCACUUGGAAUAUUUUCAGUACUUGCAGGUGAGACUCGUUUAUUUUAUCA